AUAAUGCUCCUGAAACUUGACUCCAUAAGAAUAUCAAAAUCAAUCCAUACAAGUAGGUAUUUUAAGAGAUUUUUUUUUUUUUUUUUUGCAGAUGUUGUGGAAGAAAACCAAACAUAUGUGGUUAUUAUCUUUACCAAUUACUUGCAUGAUCAGAUUGAAUACAUCUUUGGUCAGUUUUCAGAUAACACAAAUUGGACAGGAGUGUUCAUCUGCUGGACAGACUGGAUCAGUGGGCUGAGGCCAAUUGUGUGAGGUUCAACAAGACCAAAUGCCAGGUCCUCUUCUUGGGUUACAGCAACACCAGGCAGUGCCACAGGCUGGGCAGAGUGGUUGGAAAGCUGUACAGAAGAAGGGAGCCUGGGGGUGCUGUUUGACAGCAGCUGAACUUGAGCCAACUCUUGUAGCCAGCUUUGCCCAGAGGAUCAAGAAAGGACAUCCUGACUUGUAUCAAAAACAGCGUGAUCAGCUGGGCUAGGGAAUAAAUUUUCCACCUGUACUCAGCAAUGGUGAGGCCAUACCUCAAAUCCUGUGUUGCCUUUUGGGCCCCAUGCUGCAAGUGUAUUGCGGUGCUGAAGCCUGUCCAGGGAAGGACAGCAAAACUAGGAAAGAGUCUGGAACACAGGUAUUAUGAGAAAUGGCUGAGGGAGCUGGAAUGUUUUAGCCUGGAGGAAAGGAGGCUUAAGGAAGACCUUAUAGCUUUCUACAGCUGCCUACAAGGAGGUUGUAAUGAGGUGAGGGUUUGUGUCUUCUCCCAGGAAAGAUGUGGGACAAUGAGAGAAAAUGGCCUCAGACUGUGCCAGAGAAAUUGUAGAUUGGAUAAUACAAAAAAAAUUUCUUCUUCAAAAGGAUUAUUAAGCACUGGAACAAUCUUGAUGGAGUCACCACCCAGCAGGUCCCUGGGUGUUGACACAGAAUUGUGCGUGUGAAGUUCACGUUGCAGAACAGAGUCCAAGUAUAAUGUUAAGAACACCUCAGAAACCUGAUGCUACACGGUGUUUCCACUCUACUGCCAUUUGGCCUUUGUGGUUCCCUUCCUUCCACUACACAAGGACAGAAUUAUAAGAUGCAAAAUCUUGCAUCUCAGCAGGUUUGCUCUGUCUCUAAUAAGAUAGAAGGGAAAACCCUGUCAAGACUAAUACCUAAAAUGAAAAUGAUACAGUGCUCUGCAUGACAGCUUGCCUUUAAGAUGUAAGACAUGUUUUAUUUUCUCUUUUCUCCCCAUCAAAUUCAUUGUCAA